rnacentral:rRNA from 1 species
CCCUUAGAUGUUCUGGGCUGCACGCGCGCUACACUGAAGCGUUCAACGAGUAUUCACCUUGCCCGGGAGGGUUGGGUAAUCUUUUGAAAACGCUUCGUGAUGGGGAUAGAUUAUUGCAAUUAUUAAUCUUCAACGAGGAAUUCCUAGUAAGCGCGAGUCAUCAGCUCGUGCUGAUUACGUCCCUGCCCUUUGUACACACCGCCCGUCGCUCCUACCGAUUGCGUGAUCCGGUGAAUAAUUCGGACUGCAGCACUGCUUGGUCUCCAGGCUUUGCAGCGGAAAGUUUAGUGAACCUUAUCACUUAGAGGAAGGAGAAGUCGUAACA